UCCCUGGAGGUCCAGUGGUGAGACUCUGAGCUCCCAAUGCAGGGAGCCCAGGUUCAAUCCCUGUUCAGGGAA
rnacentral:tRNA from 1 species